UUUUUUGGAGUGCUGACAUCUAUGUGAACUACAGGGGGAAAUAAUUAAAUUUACAGUUUAAACAAUUAGUCCACUCUAGUGAUUCCCCUUUAGCCUUUCUAGCCUUUCUCCCUUCAGGGGGGAGUCAUUGGAGUGGACUAAUUGUUUAACCUGGAAAAUUUAAUUAUUUCCCCCUGUAGUUCACAUAGAUGUCAGCACUCCAAAAAAACAAAAAACUCAGGGAAUUA
rnacentral:snoRNA from 1 species